rnacentral:rRNA from 1 species
UCUUCGGAAGUUAGCGGCGGACGGGUGAGUAACACGUAGGCAACCUGCCUCUCAGACUGGGAUAACAUCGGGAAACCUAUGCUAAUACCGGAUAGGUUUUUGAACCGCAUGAUCCGAAAUGAAAAGGCGGCUUCGGCUGUCACUGGGAGAUGGGCCUGCGUCGCAUUAGCUAGUUGGUGGGGUAACGGCCUACCAAGGCGACGAUGCGUAGCCGACCUGAGAGGGUGAUCGGCCACACUGGGACUGAGACACGGCCCAGACUCCUACGGGAGGCAGCAGUAGGGAAUCUUCCGCAAUGGACGAAAGUCUGAUGGAGCAACGCCGCGUGAACGAUGAAGGUCUUCGGAUUGUAAAUCUGUUGUUAGGGACGAAUAAGUACCGUUCGAAUAAGCUGGCACCUUGACGGUACCUAACGAGAAAGCCACGGCUAACUACGUGCCAGCAGCCGCGGUAAUACGUAGGUGGCAAGCGUUGUCCGGAAUUAUUGGGCGUAAAGCGCGCGCAGGCGGCUAUGUAAGUCUGGUGUUAAAGCCCGGGGCUCAACCGUGGAGGCGCAUUGGAAACUGGGAGGCUUGAGUGCAGAAGAGGAAAGUGGAAUUCCAUGUGUAGCGGUGAAAUGCGUAGAGAUGUGGAGGAACACCAGUGGCGAAGGCGACUUUCUGGUCUGUAACUGACACUGAGGCGCGAAAGCGUGGGGAGCAAACAGGAUUAUAUACCCUGGUACUCCACGCCGUACACGAUGAGUGCUAGGUGUUAGAGGUUUCAAUACCUUCAGUGCUGAAGCUAACGCAUUAAGCACUCCGCCUGGGGAGUACGUCCGCAAGGCUGAAACUCAAAGGAAUUGACGGGGGCCCGCACAAGCGGUGGAGCAUGUGGUUUUAUUCGAAGCCACGCGAAGAACCUUACCAGGUCUUGACAUCCCGCUGACCGCUCAGAAGAUAGGGCUUCCUCCUUCGGGAGCGUGGACAGGUGGUGCAUGGUUGUCGUCAGCUCGUGUCGUGAGAUGUUUGGAUAAGUCCCGCAACGAGCGCAGGCCUUAUCUUUCGAGUUGCUAGCAUUCAGUUGGGCCUUCUAGAGAGACUGCCGUCGAAAAUACGGAGGAAGGCGGGGAUGACGUCAAAUCAUCAUGCCCCUUAGGACCUGGGCUACACACGUGCUACAAUGGUUGGUACAAAGGGAUGCAAGACCGCGAGGUGACGCCAAUCUCUUAAAACCAAUCUCAGUUCGGAUUGUAGGCUGCAACUCGCCUACAUGAAGCCGGAAUCGCUAGUAAUCGCGGAUCAGCAUGCCGCGGUGAAUACGUUCCCGGGCCUUGUACACACCGCCCGUCACACCACGGGAGUUUGCAACACCCGAAGUCGGUGGGGUAACCGCAAGGGAGCCAGCCGCCGAAGGUGGGACAGAUGACUGGGGGAAGUCGAACAACGAGCCACGG